rnacentral:rRNA from 1 species
AUGCAUGUCUAAGUACAAGCAAAAAUAAAGUGAAACCGCAAAAGGCUCAUUAUAUCAGUUAUGGUUCCUUAGAUCGUAUACACAAUUACUUGGAUAACUGUGGUAAUUCUAGAGCUAAUACAUGCAAUGAAAGAGAAACCAGUAAAAUGGGAUCUCUGCUUUUAUUAGAUUUAAACCAAUGGGGAUUGCUUUAAUCGGCUUUCUCAAUUAAAAUGGUUGAACUCUGGAUAACUUGUUGAUCGCAUGGUCUUGUACCGGCGACGGAUCUUUCAAAUGUCUGCCCUAUCAACUAUUGAAGGUAGUGUCUUGGACUACCUUGGUUGCAACGGGUAACGGGGAAUCAGGGUUCGAUUCCGGAGAGGGAGCCUGAGAAACGGCUACCACAUCUAAGGAAGGCAGCAGGCGCGUAAAUUACCCACUCCCGGCACGGGGAGGUAGUGACGAAAAAUAACAAUACAAGACUCACAUCCGAGGCCUUGUAAUUGGAAUGAGUACACUUUAAAUCCUUUAACAAGGAUCAAUUGGAGGGCAAGUCUGGUGCCAGCAGCCGCGGUAAUUCCAGCUCCAAUAGCGUAUAUUAAAGUUGUUGCGGUUAAAACGUUCGUAGUUGAACUUGUGUUUCGCACGGGCAGUACCUAGGACCACGUAAAAAUGGGACGGUACGUUGUCUUAUCUUUUCAAUUGUCUUUCUCGGAUUGUUGGAAAAAGUGCGUGAACGUAUUAUCGGCGUGUUCAUUUUCUCCGUGCGCGCGUACGUUUUAUCUAUCUGUUGUGUGGUUAGUUUUCACUGUUAACACUUGUCGUGCAUUUUGCACAAUUGUGUUUGGUGUCUCGGCAUUGUUUCUGCGUUAACUCUACCACACGGAGUUAUUGACGUUACGUUUGUGUACGUGUGUUUAAUAAUGUUCACAUAAGCUCAUUUCAGUGCUCUUUACCGAGUGUUGUCGUGGGCCGAUACAAAUUACUUUGAACAAAUUAGAGUGCUUAAAGCAGGCUUGUGAUGCCUGAAUAUUUUGUGCAUGGAAUAAUGGAAUAGGACAUCUGUUCUACUUUCAUUGGUUUUUUAGACCAAGAUGUAAUGAUUAAUGGAAGCAGUUGGGGGCAUUAGUAUUACAACGCGAGAGGUGAAAUUCUUA